rnacentral:rRNA from 1 species
CGCCUUUUGAAUUAUUAACAUAAAAGGUCCUGCCUGCCCAGUGACACUUGUUUUAACGGCCGCGGUAUUAUGACCGUGCAAAGGUAGCGUAAUCACUUGUCUUUUAAAUAAAGACCAGUAUGAAUGGCAAGACGAAACCUAACUGUCUCCCUAAGCUAGUCAAUAAAAUUGAUUUUCCCGUGCAGAAGCGGGAAUAAUAGUAUAAGACGAGAAGACCCUGUGGAGCUUUAAACUUAAGUUAACAAACUAUAAAUGCACUAGCACCAAGUUUUGGGUUGGGGCGACCGUGAGGUAAAACAUAACCCUCAAGACGAAAAUUAAGAAGGACACUUCAUACAAAUAUUAAUAACAUAAUUGACCCAAUAAUUGAUCAACGGACCAAGUUACCCCAGGGAUAACAGCGCAAUCUACUCAAAGAGCCCCUAUCGACGAGCAGGUUUACGACCUCGAUGUUGGAUCAGGACCCCCAAAUAAUGCAACAGUUAUUAAAGGUUCGUUUGUUCAACGAUUAAAGUC